rnacentral:rRNA from 1 species
CCUACGGGUGGCAGCAGUGGGGAAUAUUGGACAAUGGGCGCAAGCCUGACCCAGCAACGCCGCGUGAAGGAAGAAGGCUUUCGGUUUGUAAACUUCUUUUAGGAGGGAAGAGCAUAAGACGGUACCUCUUGAAUGAGCCACGGCUAAAUACGUGCCAGCAGCCGCGGUAAUACGUAGGGGGCAAGCGUUGUCCGGAUUUACUGUGUGUAAAGGGCGUGUAGCCGGGAAGACAAGUCAGAUGUGAAAGCCCGGGGCUCAACCGCGGAACUGCAUUUGAAAGUGUUUUUCUUGAGUGCCGGAGAGGUCAGUGGAAUUCCUUGUGUAGCGGUGAAAUGCGUAGAUAUAAGGAAGAACACCAGUGGCGAAGGCGGAUGACUGGACGGCAACUGACGGUGAGGCGCGAAAGCGUGGGGAGCAAACAGGAUUAGAUACCCCAGUAGUC